rnacentral:rRNA from 1 species
CCGACGGGUGAGUAACACGUAUCCAACCUGCCGUCUACUCUUGGCCAGCCUUCUGAAAGGAAAGAAUUAAUCCAGGAUGGCAUCAUGAGUUCACAUGUCCGCAUGAUUAAAGGUAUUUUCCGGUAGACGAUGGGGAUGCGUUCCAUUAGAUAGUAGGCGGGGUAACGGCCCACCUAGUCAACGAUGGAUAGGGGUUCUGAGAGGAAGGUCCCCCACAUUGGAACUGAGACACGGUCCAA